GCUAUCAGCAUCUCCAACUCAAUUCCUCCCAUUCCAACAAUUUUCGAACCAAAUCCAAUUCAACCUCCAAUCCAUUUCAACUCUUCCUGCGGCCCAAUACUUCAAUUAGCCCAACCUAAGUUCAUUUAUCACAAGAGCAUACAACACGCAAUAAAUGACCCCAUAGUAGCCAUAAAGUUUUUUAAGAAUUCUUGGUUUCAUAGUUUAAAUUUUUUAAAACGUUUUAAUGGCUUUUCGAGUUGAAGAGGUGAAAUGGUCUUUGUUAAAAUUCGUUGUUCCAUUCGCUCCCCAGAAUCAGGUAAUUUUUUUCUUAGCUUUGCUUGUGUUUAAUUCCCAGCUUGUUUUCCAUUUAUGUGUUCUGUGCUUUGUUUAGACUUCGAUUUGAUAUUUUAAUACCCAAUAAUGUUUCUUACGUUCUUACUGUUUUAUUGUUAUAGUCAUAAAUCUUCCUAGCUUCUUUGGUUUCUAUUUGUGUUACUCGUCUAAAUUGGUCAUGAAGGUUAAUGUUCACCUUUAGUGACAAGCAUCCAAUUUCGUGUUUAUGCAUCUAAGAUAUCAAGUGUAUUAGUUUUAAUUUCUCUGUUAAUAACAACUGCUUCCAACAUAUUCAUUUGUUUUCUAAUAUUUUCUUCUUUGGCAUGAUACUGUAGUUCUGCUCAUGUUUCUUCAUAGUUGUUGAUAUUUUGUCAAUCUUAGAUUUGCUAAUAACAUGUUUUGGUAUGAUUUUGAGUACGUUCCAGUAAUUGUCAUUUUCCUCAAUGAGUCUUUUUUUUUUUUUUUAGUUUUUUGUUUUUAAAAAAAUGUGUAUUUAUUUAGCUUAAAAGUAAUCUUGUUCUUGAAUUAUUGCAUUUGUAAGCUUGAAUCUCUUGAACUUGUGGGCUGCUUAAGUUCUUUUUUUUUUUUAAUAUCCAUUUAAGCUUCAGUUUCUUAUUACGCAUUUAAGUUUGAUUUUCUUCUCAUCUAAUUUAGGUAGCUGAUGAUUUGUUGUUUCAAGGUGAAAUCUUGUUGGUGGUAUGAACUUAAGAUGCCUCUGUCCAAAUGAUGAAUGUUAAAUAAGCUUGAGUCUGUUUAUGUGUUGGGAUUAGCUGUUGAUUCUCACUUGUAUAGAUCACGGUGCGACAAUAUUUUUAACUUUAAAUUAGUUUGAUUAAUAAGCAUGAAGGUUGUUAGCCUGUUCUUGCCUCUUUAUUGGCUUUUAUAUGAUUCAAAUCCUCUUACUAAUUCAUAGUAGGACUGAUAUAAAUUUUUAAUCGCUUUCAAUGAAGCUGAGCUUGCUUUGUAUCUGAGUUUGACUAUUCUGUUUAAGUAGUUGUUGUAUUUAAUUUUGAUGAGUGAAUCGUGAACUGGCGUCGUUAGUUUGGUUUCAAGAGAUCUUAAACCUUUAAACGUUGCUUUACAGCUUCUUUAGAUUGUUUUUAUUGAACUCUCAGUCAGACACCUCCAAAUUUUAAUUUUGUUUACAUUCUCUCCUCGAGUUAAUGGUUGAUAGGUUUCUUCAACAUGUUUAAAUAUGGCAGCCUCUAAUGUUUUGAAUUUAAUUCAUACUAAUGCCAGUUUGCUCCCCCAAACAGUAAUAAAUAAUUACAUUUGAUUGUUUAACAGAAUUUCAGCAGUGAUAAGCAUGUCAUUUAGAGUCUUAAGCUUAAGUUGAUAUCAUCCUAAUGUUGUUGUUAAUCUUUUUUCCUUUCUUUUCUUGGCAUGAACUCUCUCGUUUGAGUCCAAUUGGACUCCCCUCUUCUUGAGUCAACCUCUUUUGGAGUCAUGAAAGGGAAGUCAUAUUACUGGGUUGAAAUCCCAAGAAGGAAGCAGCAACAGGGGCUCAAAAGAGCUGGAAUGAGAAACAAAUAUUUGGGUUAAAACUCGUAACUAAAAGCAGCUGCAGUAGCCUUGUAAAGGUUGAAAAUUGAUGAUUUUGGACUAUCAAAAGUUCACUAAGUGCAGCAGAUUUGCAGCAACCUCAAAGGGCUAGAAGAGUAGUGUUUCUUAGACUUGCAAAGCCUGAGAAUAGCACAGCAUGAACAUAAAACAUUUUGGGUCAAAAGGUCUAAAAUCAAAGCGGCAAAAGACAUUAAGUUCAGGCCUGAAGUGACUAUUUAUAGGCUGAAAGUUUCUUAGUUAUCUUAUUUAUUACUUAUGUUUAUUUACUUGUUAUUUUUGUGCUUGUUGAUUUUUCUUUUAAUUAACUUAGAUGAAUCCUUUGGAG
rnacentral:lncRNA from 1 species